GAAUUUCCGCAAAGAAAUGGCAAAUUGUAGUAUGUGGAAUUUUCUAGUGCCAUGUACAAAAUAAUACAGCUCGAAGGUAGGAUACAAUUUUUCAUACCUACAUAAUAGGUAUAAAUAGGUGCCUACUUGAUAAUCUUGGUAUUAAAUUAAAUGACUCGUUCUAAAGUGACAUUAAACAUUUGUUCGAAAAGUAAAGUAGCGUGUGGAUUAUUAUUGUGUAUGUGUUUAGCAUGUUUUGUUAUCUAUUUUUUGUGUUUAUUACCUUCGAAAGAAAGUAAGCAUUCUGCAUACUUAGAUGCAUCGAAACUUGAAGUGACCAAUGAAAAUCCACCUCCAAAUCACACUUUAUGUGUUCUGGUGCCAUUUCGAGAUGUGUUCGAAGAAUUACUUGAAUUUGUGCCUCAUAUGAGUACAUUUUUACACCGUCAGUCGAUUAAUUUUCAUAUCGCGGUAAUCAAUCAUGUACCAGAUGGAAAUCGUUUCAAUAAAGGCUCCGCAUAUAACGCCGGAUUUAAAAUCAUUUCGAAAGAGUAUGCAGAUUGUGAUUAUAUAGCUUUACACGAUAUCGAUUUACUGCCUCUGAAUCAUGAUCUCUCAUAUGGAUACCCAGGACAUGAUGUUUUUCAUGUGGCAAAUCCUGAUUAUCAUCCUCUAGGAGAAUAUUACAUGCGUGAUCUUUAUAUCGGUGGAAUCGCAAUCAUAUCAAAUCAACAAUUUAUUCGAGUCAAUGGGUUUGGAAAUAAUUUUUGGGGCUGGGGUUUCGAAGAUCAGAAUUUUUCCCUUCGUUUGAAAAAGAACUCCAUUCGAGUGAAUCGUCCCACUGAUCUUAGCACAGAUCGAAAUAAUACAUUUAAACAUAUCCACAGAACACAUCGAAAAAGAGAUCUUUCAGGGUGUCUCAAUCAACUGAUUUCUGCAAAUGGUGUUUCUGAUUAUGUAUCCGGAAUACACGAUGUGAAUUAUGAGAUCAUUUCAAGAGACUCGUUGAUUAUCAACGGAUUCCCAUCAUCUUUGUUCAACGUUAACAUUCCUUGUAAUUAUACUGCAACUCCUUGGUGUAAACCUUAUUGUUUGGGAGGUAUUGAUAUGCAACAGAGUGGAAAAUAAACAUAAAUGUAAGCAGGUAUCCUAUACUAGUGUUUCAAUUAUGAGAAACCAAUGACCAAUAUUACGUACAAAGACAACAAAGCUGAAAUUUUUUUUUACUGAUUUUUCGGUUCUUAUGUUCACUUUUUUUUCACUUGUUUGUUUUAUUUUCAGUUUUUGAUCUAAUUAUUUUCAUUUUUCAUUUUUUGAUUUUCUUUCCAGUUUUUAAUUUUAAUUUUUUUUUCUUCUAUUUUCAGCUUUUGACUUCAUUUUCAAAACUCUCAUUUGAUUUUCUGUUUGCAUUGAUUUUCCAAUGUUUUUAGCUUAUUGAGGGAGAAUUCCACCUUAUUUGCUUUUACUCUCAGGGCUCAUAUUUUCAUUAGAGUCAAAAAAUUGAGACGAAACCUAAAAUUCUGGAAAUGAAAUCAAAAAUUGAAAACAUUUCGAAUUUGUUACGAAAUUUUAAUCCAUUUUGGUACAUCACAUGAGAGUUUUUUUCAAAAAUCCCGAAAAUCAUGUCCCAGUUUAACGCCCAGUGUUCAUAAAAAAUACUUGAAAAACAUGGGCUUUUAAAAUAUUAAUGCUCGCAAAAUAUUUUCUUCAAAAUCUUCCAAUCUUUUGCGAAAUUAAUUUCACGCAUUUUGGUAAAUUGCAGGAUAUAUUUCAUCAAGAAUCUCGAAAACCAUGAUCCAAUUUCGGGCUUGAAGUUCUUCAAAAAAUGUUUUAAAAAUAUUCUCGUCGAAACAUUCGAAUUUCCUGUAGAAUUUCAACUCAUUUCGAUAAAUCGAAUAAUGCUAUUUUUCAAACAUUUCCCAUUUUAAUCCAAUUUUGGGCUUGAAAUUCUUCGAAACGUCGAAAUAUUUGAUUUGCAGAUUAAUAUUUAUUGAGCUCAGAGUUCUCUAAAAGAGCUCGAAAAAAAUCUCUGUCGAAAUAUUUGAACCCAUUUUGAAAGGUCCCUGACACCUUUUUCGAAAAUGAAAAAUCCCGAGAGUACCAUGACCCACUUUUGAGCUCAAAAUCAUUGAAAACUACUCAAAGUGAAAUUUUUGUUGAAAUAUUCGAAUCUUUCGUGAAAUUUUAACUCAUUUUUUUGAAAAUCUGAAAGGCAUAACUUGAUUUUUGGCAACAUUUCCAUUUCAUGAACAUUAAAACGACCUAUCUAUAGGUACUCAUGAAAAAACGAAAACAACAGCUCUGGGUAUCGAUGACGACCUUAUGAAAAAUUCUGAAAGUCAAAACUAAAUCUAGCUUUCCAAUGCGCUAAUGAUGGAGAAAAAUUAUUACCGAGUGUAGGUAGCGAACAAAAACACGAAGAAUUAUAAUCAUCUGUGCCCUGUGUAAUCAAAUAAUUCACCACGCAUUUUACAUUUUAUACCAUUAGGCAACUUACGUAAAUUGAACGACUGCUUUAUCAGGUGUUGAAAUAAAUUAUCAUUGCCACACAUAUAAAAAAGCAGUCGUUUUAGCAAAUAUUUAAUGAGAAGUCAAUAUCUACCCACUCACAAAACAGCAAAACAAUUGCUCUAGUUAUCGACGGCGACCUUAUGAAAAAUUCUGAAAGUCAAAACUAAAUCUGGCUUUUAAAUGCGCUAAUGAUGGAGGCAAAUUAUUAUCAAGUAUAGCGAGCAAAAACACGAAGAAUUAUAAUCAUCUGUGCUCUGUGUAAUCAAAUAAUUCACUAAGCACUUUACAUCUUAUAUGUACCAUUAGGGAACUUAAAUUGAACGACUGCUUUAUCAAAUGUUAAAAUAAAUUGUUAUUGCUGAACACUAUGGUUUCAAUUUUUCAAAAAAUUGACUAUAAUGUCCUCGUCGUACGCUUGAAAAACAAUUUUCUAAUGAGAUAAAACAGAGCUCAAUUAAAACCGUUGUCGUAGUAAAAAUCGUAACCUGCAAGGACAGUGAGAUCAAUCGCAGCUCAUCUCGGUGAAACUCAAAUUCGAUUUUUUUCAAGCAUUUAAAAUGGUGGUAAAAAUUAUCGCUUUAUGUUUGAUGUUUUCGUGCCUUUUUCUGGAUGUGAAGGCGGAGAAGGCUUACAUUGAUAUAACUGAAGAUGCAUUUAAUAAUAUGAAAGGAAAAGAUAUUGCAGCAGUUUGUAAAGAUAAAGCAUCUAUGGAAGACGUAUGCUGUCAUCUUAGGAAAUUGAGAAACCUCGCAGCAGACGGUGUACCUUUUGCAAAUGGUUAUCCAAAAUGUCACGAAUCGAGUAUGCAGGUACAAAAAAAAGAUGGCACAGGAAUAGUUUUGGAAAAGGUUAAAUUCCUCAUCUGCGCCUGGAGUCCAUGUGCUGAAUAUUGGUACGGAAGGGGUAGAUGUGCAAAUUGUCUUAUGAGUUUCGAUUGUAACCCUGCCAGUUGCCUUCCAUACCUCGAAUUUGAGUAUAAGUAGGGAGCUCGCUGCGAACCCUGGCUCGAUGCGCUCAGGCUGCUUGCUUGGGUGGACGUGUUGAAUAAUUUAUGGUUCUGAGGAAAAUUCUUUGCACGAAACUUCACCUCGAAAUUCUUCCCAGCGAGGGUUCUUCCAAUGAAAGUAUUUCCACGUGAAAUUUUUUUCCAAUUAAAUUAUUCCUGUACAAUAUAAUUUGUGCUCAUUUUUUUUUCUUUUAAUGAUUAUUGAUUGGGUUACUUACUAUAUAUAACUACUCGUAACAAUUUUACCGCUCAAAAGGUCAAUAUUUCGGAAUUUUUUACACCUGUUCCGGAUUAAGUUUUUAAAAAUUUGAAAGGGAAUUUUAUCUGAGAGAAAUUUCUCGAAAACUUUCCCUUUGGAAGAAGUUUCAGUGGAAAGAAAUUUCGUAGGAAGCACUUCGCCCGAAAAAUUUUCCUUGAAUCGUAUUAAGGUUAAUAGUAUGAUAAUUAAUUAAGAAUCUAUUGUUUGCAAAUAUUUUUUCUUGUAACCAAUAAUAUUUUAGUUUAUUCUCGUCACUAGUUUACAUAAAUUCAUUCUCUGACCUCUUAUCGUAGGUACAAUAAUAAAAUUGCAUAAUUUCCUACCGCA